UGGAGGUUUUGAAGGAGGGAGUGAUGUGAUCACGGGAACGGGUGUGUGUGAGGAAGCGGGCAGCAGAGUUUUGGAUGUGUCGGAGUUUAUUUAAGGCUUUUGUACAUGAACCAUAGAGGAUGCUGUGCAGUUGUUGAUGUGUAUGAACUGUUGGUGAGAUAAGAAUGGAGCCAGGAGAGUGCAGUGCCAGUGAUGUUGCAGUAGCUUUCCAGUUGUGACAGAUGGAUGGAGUGGUUGAUGGUGUGGAAGGCUGCAGUGAGGAAAAGCAU